rnacentral:rRNA from 1 species
AAUGAACGCUGGCGGUAGGCCUAACACAUGCAAGUUGAACGGCAGCACAGGAGAGCUUGCUCUCUGGGUGGCGAGUGGCGGACGGGUGAGGAAUACAUCGGAAUCUACUUUUUCGUGGGGGAUAACGUAGGGAAACUUACGCUAAUACCGCAUACGACCUACGGGUGAAAGCAGGGGAUCUUCGGACCUUGCGCGAUUGAAUGAGCCGAUGUCGGAUUAGCUAGUUGGCGGGGUAAAGGCCCACCAAGGCGACGAUCCGUAGCUGGUCUGAGAGGAUGAUCAGCCACACUGGAACUGAGACACGGUCCAGACUCCUACGGGAGGCAGCAGUGGGGAAUAUUGGACAAUGGGCGCAAGCCUGAUCCAGCCAUACCGCGUGGGUGAAGAAGGCCUUCGGGUUGUAAAGCCCUUUUGUUGGGAAAGAAAUCCAGCUGGUUAAUACCCGGUUGGGAUGACGGUACCCAAAGAAUAAGCACCGGCUAACUUCGUGCCAGCCGCCGCAGUAA